rnacentral:rRNA from 1 species
UACGUAGGGUGCAAGCGUUGUCCGGAAUUAUUGGGCGUAAAGAGCUCGUAGGCGGUCUGUCGCGUCUGCUGUGAAAACCUGGGGCUUAACCCCGGGCCUGCAGUGGGUACGGGCAGACUAGAGUGUGGUAGGGGAGACUGGAAUUCCUGGUGUAGCGGUGAAAUGCGCAGAUAUCAGGAGGAACACCGGUGGCGAAGGCGGGUCUCUGGGCAGUAACUGACGCUGAGGAGCGAAAGCGUGGGGAGCGAACCGG